UACGUAGGCAGCAAGCGUUGUUCGGAAUUACUGGGCGUAAAGAGUGUGUAGGCGGUGCUCUAAGUUCGGUGUGAAAUCUCCCGGCUCAACUGGGAGGGUGCGCCGGAAACUGGAGUGCUGGAGCGCGGGAGAGGAAAGCGGAAUUCCUGGUGUAGCGGUGAAAUGCGUAGAUAUCAGGGAGGAACACCGGCGGUGUAGACGGCUUUCUGGACCGUAGCUGACGCUGAGACACGAAAGCGUGGGGUAGCAAAACAGGG
rnacentral:rRNA from 1 species